AACAUUAUUUUCUCUUGGAUCGAGGUAUGCGGUUCUUCAAUAGCUUUCACUUCUUUCCAACUUUUCUUCUACGUCCAAAGAAUCGUGAAGCUUCCCAAAUUGUACUUCAAAAAAUUCUUUUGAUUUCGUGAAGCUUUAUACCAUUUUCUUCUGUUAAUGAAAUUCGGUACAACGUCAAGGAUUUUGGUAUCACAUCAAUCUGGGAGUCCCAAGGGGUCGUAGGUACAGCUUGAAGCCUCAUGUGUCUAGACUAUCUGAGCUCCUUGGACUCAAGGUUGAAAUGGCAAAGGGUUGUAUCGGGAGAAAGUCCAAGAUUUGAUUAAUGCAAUUCGUGUUGGAGGUGUUGUGCUCCUUGAAAAUGUGAGAUUCUAUAAAAGAGAAUUGAGAAAUGACCCUGAGUUUGCGAGCAAUCUAGCAUCUAUUGCUGACAUUUAUGUUAAUGCUUGUUAAUAAUAGCACACAAAACUGAUUCUUGUGACAACAUCCAUCAUCUCUGUUACAAGGUACAAUAGUAGUACAAUUAAUAAUCAUUUGUGACAACAUCCCAUCAUCUCUGUUUUCGAUUCCUAUGCAUUUCCCACAGCUGCUAUGUUUGAUACUACAGUAAACAAAGGCAACUCUUCCUUGGUGGAAUCAAAAAAGGUCAUGGCACAAAACAUAUCCAAUGAUCAUCCGACACCCAAGGACCAAUCAUGGAUGAUUGUUGCAGUCCUGACUUUGAGUCAAAUACUUUUACCAGGAAGGUGGAUCCUGCAUUGAUGCUCAAUCUUUCGACAAUUUUGGCUGUGAGGAUUGUACAAAUCAGAAUGUGAAUGGAAAAGAAGGGAACAUACUGGUUACCGGAUAUGCAGUGAGUGAUUUGGAAGGUAAAGUAUGUCACCACGGAUUUUGUUCCAAAGAAUGAGCCAAGGUCUUCAUAGAAUAUGUCUAAUGUGUCUAAAAUGCUUCUGCACCAAUCUAGGACCCUCCUCAAGGUGAUGAUUGUUUGUAUUGGUUGGUUGUAGUUGGGUGAUAUGAAAUAAGAAGCGGUUGUAAUCUGUAAAAUAAACUUUGAUUACUAUAGUCACAAAUUAUUAAGAUCAAUUCCAAGCGAAGACUUGAUGAUUUUCAGGACUGUUUGUUAGUUGUUUUUUUUAAGCUUUUACGAGUACUUACGAUA